GCCUCUGUAGCUCAGUUGGUUAGAACACUGCACCGGAAUUGCAGAGCGCUAGGUUCGAUUCCUGUCAGAGGAC